CCCAUCUAUUUGCCAUGAAGUGAUGGGACCAGAUGCCAUGACCUUAGUUCAGAAAGUAAACCUGAUGCCUUUAUGGGAGAUGGAGCCACUUUCUUGCUCUGGAUAGGAUCACCUCCACGGGAGAAUGUUACAUUUUUUUCUUAAAGGCGAAAUGUUCGUAAGUUUUACCUCUUUACUUUGUAUUUACUUUUAAAGUUGCACUUGUUCACCUAUCAGUAUUAUGAAAUCUGAUGUUUGGGAUACUUUUUCUAUAAUAAAACGUUCUCUUUUGAAAAAAGAAUCGUACUUUCAAAAAAUUUGGGGAGCCUAAUGUGUAACUCUAUACUGAUGACACUUAAGCACAUAAAAAAUUGGAAGGACAUUUUUCAAAAUGUUAAAAUGGAUUGUUUUUGAAUUAUGGAAUUGCAGGAUUAUUCCUCCUAUUUUUCCACGUUUUCUAGAUUUUCUAAAGCAAGUUGCACGAUUUUGAUAAUUAGAGAGAGAAAGAUGUCAUUUAAAAAAUGAUUGCACCUGACUAGCUGCAGCCCAUGCUCUCUGUUGCCAGCUGAUCCUCUGCCUUUGGCAAGAGAUGAAUUUCAUGAGCCUGCAAGCCCUGCCAGGAAAAGUGCAAUUACCCAGAACGAAGCCACCCUGGGGCCUGGCCAGCCCCCGCUGGAGGGAGGGACGAUGCAGAGAAGCCCAUCUGGCGAGGGGCUGCAUUGUAUCUCAGGGACACCCCAAAACUUAGCUGUGCCCACCUAUAGAUUCCUAGGCAGCAUUCUAACUUAAAGGUGAAUUGCUGGACUGCCAGACGGUUAAACGCUGCCUUGACUGGGGGGCUGUGUGCCCGCCUUGAAGUGCAAGGAAACAUGGCUGGGCAGAAGCUCAGAUGGGUCUGCACCUGCCUCAGGGCUGCCAGAGAGCGUCACGCUUCCCUCCUAACAAGGAUCAAGCUGCCUGAUUGGAAGUGCAAGCUUCCGACAGAAUGUGUUGGAGACUAGGAUUC
rnacentral:lncRNA from 1 species